rnacentral:rRNA from 1 species
CCCUUAGAUGUUCUGGGCCGCACGCGCGCUACACUGAUGCAUUCAACGAGUCCAACCUUGACCGAGAGGUCCGGGUAAUCUUUGAAACUGCAUCGUGAUGGGGCUAGAUUAUUGCAAUUAUUAAUCUUCAACGAGGAAUGCCUAGUAAGCGUGAUUCAUCAAAUCGCGUUGAUUACGUCCCUGCCCUUUUUACACACCGCCCGUCGCUCCUACCGAUUGAGUGUGUUGGUGAGGAGUUUGGAUUGGCCUCGGAAGGUGGUUCGCCACCGUCCGUAGCUGAGAAGUUCUCCAAACCGCCCCACUUAGAGGAAGGAGAAGUCGUAACA